rnacentral:rRNA from 1 species
UACGAAGGGGGCUAGCGUUGCUCGGAAUUACUGGGCGUAAAGGGCGCGUAGGCGGAUGUUUAAGUCAGAGGUGAAAGCCCAGGGCUCAACCUUGGAACUGCCUUUGAUACUGGACAUCUUGAGUGUGGGAGAGGUGAGUGGAACUCCGAGUGUAGAGGUGAAAUUCGUAGAUAUUCGGAAGAACACCAGUGGCGAAGGCGACUCACUGGCCCAUUACUGACGCUGAGGCGACGAAAGCGUGGGGAGCAAACAGG